rnacentral:rRNA from 1 species
GAGUUUGAUCUUGGCUCAGGUUGAACGCUGGCGGCAUGCCUUACACAUGCAAGUCGAACGGCAGCAUGAUCUAGCUUGCUAGAUUGAUGGCGAGUGGCGAACGGGUGAGUAAUACAUCGGGAACGUGCCCUGUAGUGGGGGAUAACUAGUCGAAAGAUUAGCUAAUACCGCAUACGACCUGAGGGUGAAAGUGGGGGACCGCAAGGCCUCAUGCUAUAGGAGCGGCCGAUGUCUGAUUAGCUAGUUGGCGGGGUAAAGGCCCACCAAGGCGACGAUCAGUAGCUGGUCUGAGAGGACGAUCAGCCACACUGGGACUGAGACACGGCCCAGACUCCUACGGGAGGCAGCAGUGGGGAAUUUUGGACAAUGGGCGAAAGCCUGAUCCAGCAAUGCCGCGUGUGUGAAGAAGGCCUCGGUUGUAAG